GAUGAACGCUGGCGGCGUGCCUAAUACAUGCAAGUCGAGCGAACGGACGAGAAGCUUGCUUCUCUGAUGUUAGCGGCGGACGGGUGAGUAACACGUGGAUAACCUACCUAUAAGACUGGGAUAACUUCGGGAAACCGGAGCUAAUACCGGAUGAUAUUUUGAACCGCAUGGUUCAAAAGUGAAAGACGGUCUUGCUGUCACUUAUAGAUGGAUCCGCGCUGCAUUAGCUAGUUGGUAGGGUAACGGCUUACCAAGGCAACGAUGCAUAGCCGACCUGUGAGGGUGAUCGGCCACACUGGAACUGAGACACGGUCCAUACUCCUACGGGAGGCAGCAGUAGGGAAUCGUCCGCAAUGGGCGAAAGCCUGACGGAGCAACGCCGCGUGAGUGAUGAAGGUCUUCGGAUCGUAAAACUCUGUUAUUAGGGAAGAACAUAUGUGUAAGUAACUGUGCACAUCUUGACGGUACCUAAUCAGAAAGCCACGGCUAACUACGUG
rnacentral:rRNA from 1 species